UUCAACAGUACGUGAAACCGUUCAGGGGUAAACCUGAGAAACCCAAAAGAUCGAAUGGGGAGAUUCAUCGUCAGCCGGCUUGGCUUCCGUGCGGUUCGCGAUGAUCGGGGCUUCGGCUCUCGCGUCACGCAAUCGCUGCGGUAUGUCCGAGUCGCGCCGGCGUGCACUUCUUCCCUAGUAGGACGUCGCGAUUCGUUGGGUGUCGGUUUACGGACCGGUAGGUAGCCUGGCGAGUUUUGCGUUCACGCGUAUUUACUUGCCAGACCUCCGGAUUUUCCUAACCGGCUGCCCGGCGAUAUAAAACGAUAAUCCAAUGGCAYUGAGCCGCGUUGAACGCGUUUACGGCUCGUCGGCAGAUUCGUCUCGCUUGGAUUUACGAACCUAGUUUCGUUGCCGGGCGCUUGACGGGUCGUUCGCCGGCGAUGUCCUCGAACUGGCUCUAAAUAUUCUUACGGAAUAUGCCGAUCGGCGACGCUACUGCUUUGGGUACUUUCAGGACCCGUCUUGAAACACGGACCAAGGAGUCUAACAUGUGCGCGAGUCAUUGAGUCUUGUACUAAGCUUAAAGGCGUAAUGAAAGUAAAGAUCGUACCUUGCGUCGAUUUAGGGAGGAUGGCCGACGUUACGAUGUCGGCUCGCACUCCCGGGGCAUUUCGUGUUCAUUGCGAACUGAGGUGCACCCAGAGCGCACACGUUGGGACCCGAAAGAUGGUGAACUAUGCCUGGUCAGGACGAAGUCAGGGGAAACCCUGAUGGAGGUCCGUAGCGAUUCUGACGUGCAAAUCGAUCGUCGGAACUGGGUAUAGGGGCGAAAGACUAAUCGAACCAUC
rnacentral:rRNA from 1 species